CAGUGUUAACUCCGCUCUUUUAGAAUUUGUACAGCCAGGUUUUCUGGUUUCUACCAGAAAACCCCC
rnacentral:snRNA from 1 species